rnacentral:rRNA from 1 species
AUGCAGCCCAAGAUCACUAGUGCUUUGGAUCCUAAUUCAAGAGAUGCACUUGGCCUAGCUUGGUCCAAGUUUUUUCAUGCCAAUGAUAUUGCUGGACGUAAAGCUGAUUGCCCAUACUUCCGAGCUGCUGUGAAGAUCACUCAACAAUUAGGGCCUGCUCCUAUACCAACCGCAAAGGAGAUUGAUGGGAAAUAUUUGGAGGUUAACUAUGAUGAAGCUACUUCGUUUCUUCAAAAAUUUAAACAAGAUUGGAAAAACUUCGGUGUGACUCUUAUGUGUGACUCUUGGACUGGUCCAACAGGAAUGAGCCUCAUAAACUUCAUGGUAUAUUGUAAUACACGAAUGUUCUUCCUCAAUACCAUUGAUGCAUCCGGCCAGACUCAGAAUUCAGACUUUAUCUAUAGAGAGAUUGAGAAGGUUGUAGAAGAGAUAGGCCAUGAACAUAUUGUUCAAAUAGUAACCGAUAAUGGGUCCAACUAUAAGAAAACUUGCAAAACCCUUAUAGAAGAACCAAAAUACUCUCAUAUUGUUUGGCAACCGUGUGCUGCCCACACCGUCAAUCUUAUGUUAAAAGAUAUAGCCAAAUUUCCCGAGGUUGAUGUGAUAGUCAAGAGUGCCAAGACAAUCUGUAGGUUCUUCCAUAAGCACAAUAACCUACAUGAUAACAUGAAGAAGAACAUAUGUGGUGAACUAAUUAGACCAAAUGCCACCCGUUUUGGGACUGUCUUCAUGUUCCUUGAGAGUUACCAUUUGAAGAAAGAUAAAUUUAGGGAGUGGAUGGUUUCGACUGAUUGGAAGGAGUGUCAGUGGAGGUAUGAGCCUGGAUAUGUGUUUGCUGAAGAAUGUUUGUCCAGUAAUGUUUGGUGGAACACACUAGAGUGGGUAUUGGGUUCGUUGAGGCCACUUUAUAAGGCCAUGAGGUAUGCUGAUACACAGAAACAAUGCACUCUUUCCGGAUUCAAGAAAAGUAUGAUGCUCGCUAUACAACAGAUGGAAGCACAUCUAGGCCCUACAUCAAGGUUGUACCUUAGUUUCAUGCGCAAGGUGGGCAAGAGGAUAGAGGCAAUGGAAGAAGAUACAUUUAUGGUUGCAGCUGCCGUCCUUGAUCCAUAUACACAUUACAAGCUCAACCUUUGCAACCAUACAGAUUAUGCUACCUCACUAACAGAUGCGAUAGCGAAGAUAUUAGAUCCAAAGAGUGCUCUUUCAGCCAUUGAUGAAGUAAGUAAGUUUAGGGAGUGCCAAGGGAGGUUUGGGACCAGAUUAGCAGAAGAAGCUGCGGCGAGAAUGGAGCCAACCCAAUGGUGGUUUCAAUUUGGAGGGGAUGUUCCUGCAUUGCAGAAGUGUGCAAUGAGAAUUUGCUCAUAA